rnacentral:rRNA from 1 species
CGGGUGAGUAACGCGUGGGGAAUCUGCCUUUGAGCGGGGGACAACAUUUGGAAACGAAUGCUAAUACCGCAUAAAAACUUUAAACACAAAUUUUAAGUUUGAAAGAUGCAAUUGCAUCACUCAAAGAUGAUCCCGCGUUGUAUUAGCUAGUUGGUGAGGUAAAGGCUCACCAAGGCGAUGAUACAUAGCCGACCUGAGAGGGUGAUCGGCCACAUUGGGACUGAGACACGGCCCAA